UUAUGACCAUAUCACGUUGAAAUACCAGUUCCCGUACGAUCACCGAAGUUAAGCAACGUCGAGGCUGAUGAGAAUCUAGACAGGAGACCACUUGAGAAUACCAGAUGUUGUA